rnacentral:rRNA from 1 species
AUGUUAUCCGGGCCGCCGAGGUGCAGUAGGAGGAACGGCACCCAGAAGGCGAUGAGGUGGUGGUCUUUUGUUGCGCCGCUGAAGAGGAGCUGGCCGGCGGCGUAUGUCGCAGUGGAGUCGGACAGCUGGUACGCCACCCAGAGGGGGAACCUCAGCCAAUUUGAGGCGUCUUUAUGCCGACGGAUGUUGGCAAAGAUAUGGAGCAUGACCUGGAAGAAGAGGCUCAAGAGAACCCCGAUCUGGGACGCCCAGUCAUUCCAGAAGCUCAACGGCCCUCCAGCCAUUGUUGUGAGCUUGAUCCUGCAACGCAAGCACUGCAGAUACGUAAAAUCAGUAAUGACAAUUAAACAAGGUAAGAGCGCAGCGUAA